AGGCCGUACUUGGCGAUCACAUUGAUCAAAAGGGAUCCUUCGUAUCUCUAGACAAGUUGUGCUUUGAUUUCUCACAUGGUGUUAUUGAGCCAUCAAAGUAUCAUUUGCUCCUUUGGUUGUGUUAUUUCUCAUAGGCAAACUUGUUAAUGUUGAUGCUUUGAAGCAAAUAGAGGAAAUUGUAAAUCAACAGAUUCAAGAUGAGUUAGAUGUAUAUGCAAAAGAAGCUAGCCUAAUGGAGGCAAAACACAUUUGGGUUUUCGAGCUAUGUUUGAAGAAGUAAGGAACCUUCAUUAACGAGGGUUGAACUCAAAGAAAUUGUUUUAUUUUGAUAAGUUGUGAAAGCUAAUAUUUUACUAAAUUGCUAUACCUUUUGAA